rnacentral:rRNA from 1 species
GACGAACCGUGCAAACGUUGUUCGGAAUCACUGGGCUUAAAGGGCGCGUAGGCGGUCGGUCAGGUUCUGGGUGAAAGCCCCCAGCUUAACUGGGGAAGUGCCCGGAAUACCGUCCGACUCGAGGGGGGUAGGGGCGUGUGGAACUUCCGGUGGAGCGGUGAAAUGCGUAGAUAUCGGAAGGAACGCCGGUGGCGAAAGCGACACGCUGGACCCCUUCUGACGCUGAGGCGCGAAAGCCAGGGGAGCAAACGGG